rnacentral:rRNA from 1 species
GACGAACGCUGGCGGCGUGCCUAAUACAUGCAAGUAGAACGCUGAAGGAGGAGCUUGCUUCUCUGGAUGAGUUGCGAACGGGUGAGUAACGCGUAGGUAACCUGCCUGGUAGCGGGGGAUAACUAUUGGAAACGAUAGCUAAUACCGCAUAAGAGUAGAUGUUGCAUGACAUUUGCUUAAAAGGUGCAAUUGCAUCACUACCAGAUGGACCUGCGUUGUAUUAGCUAGUUGGUGAGGUAACGGCUCACCAAGGCGACGAUACAUAGCCGACCUGAGAGGGUGAUCGGCCACACUGGGACUGAGACACGGCCCAGACUCCUACGGGAGGCAGCAGUAGGGAAUCUUCGGCAAUGGACGGAAGUCUGACCGAGCAACGCCGCGUGAGUGAAGAAGGUUUUCGGAUCGUAAAGCUCUGUUGUAAGAGAAGAACGAGUGUGAGAGUGGAAAGUUCACACAGUGACGGUAUCUUACCAGAAAGGGACGGCUAACUACGUG